CGGUGCCUACGGGAGGCAGCAGUGAGGAAUAUUGGUCAAUGGGCGGGAGCCUGAACCAGCCAAGUCGCGUGAAGGAAGAAGGUACUUAGUAUUGUAAACUUCUUUUGUCGGGGAACAAAGGCGGAGACGCGUCUCCGGAUGAGUGUACCCGAAGAAAAAGCAUCGGCUAACUCCGUGCCAGCAGCCGCGGUGAUACGGAGGAUGCGAGCGUUACCCGGAUGUAUUGGGUUUAAAGGGUGCGCAGGCGGGGGAUCAAGUCAGCGGUAAAAUGUCGGGGCGCAACCCCGGCCG
rnacentral:rRNA from 1 species